rfam:Culex pipiens quinquefasciatus supercont3.439 genomic scaffold, whole genome shotgun sequence.
GCCCGUGUUGAUCAAUCGGACCGCGCUCUGGACUCACAAUCCAGAGGUUGCUGGUUCGAAUCCCGCGGCGGGCG